rnacentral:lncRNA from 1 species
UUUCUUCGCCGCUUUCCGCUCAUGGACGGUCGAUCCAGAUGGCAUAUCAUCGCCGUAGAGUGCUGCUCAGUAUCUCCACUCAUGGCUCAGACGUUUUUUAAGUGUUGAUAUUCACUUGUUGUCUAUUGGGUUCUAUGAUGGCUUGGGGUUGUCCUUUAUAUUCUGUGGUUGUCUGUACUUUGUCAGUUCUCUCUAUCAGUCAAUGGGUAACCAUGCGAGCCUCUGUCACCAGCUUCAUCUCAGGCAGCAGCUGUGGCUGGUGCAACAGGUCGUCUCCUCUUCCCAGCAGGCUAGGAUUGGCCCACAUGUGGGCCUUGUACUCUGCGCUCUGUUGUUUACGGGUUUAGUAGUCUUUAUCUUUUAGCCUUACUUCGAGCUAAGGGUGUGCACUUUCCACGGUUCUUUAUAGAAACCGGA